UUUCUCAAUUUUUUUACUAUGGAGAAAGAAGAAAGCCACGGUUACUUCAUUGUUGUUUUGGUAUUUUUCUGUGAAAUUGAUUUCAUUAUAAAAUCUAAUGCAGGGCGUUGUUCCUAGUAUUAUAGCUGGGGUUUGACCAUUCCUACUUGGAAUGUAAGCUUGUUAUCUUUUAUGUUUCAUUUCUGAAUAAUGUCAACUAUUUAUUUUCUUAAAUACUUGAGAUCUAGAAUAUAUGGAUAAUGGAAGCUUUAGACAGACACGAGAUAUGGAAUGGACAUGCAGUUUACAUGAGGCAAUUUGAAUUACCUUUCUACUUUUGAAAUUUUAGUGCCUGCGAUUUCUUGGAUUGGUAAAGCAUCAUUGAUGAAUUAGUAUGUGCAAAUCUUGGAUUUACAUACAACUUCUUGGGAAUAUCUACGUAGGUCUUGGAGCUGGGAAGGUUUGUGUUGGUACCUGUGUUAGAAGGAACGCGAAACAGAGCAAGGUCUACUAGUGGCAGGGACUGUGGGUGGAGUUUGUUGAUUCCCACGAGGGCUUCACGUCUGUCUUUGGUUGAAUGUAACUUCUUGGUUUGCUUUUGAUCUAUGGAACACAAGACGUGGGGAUGUUCUUCAAGUGAAGAUAGUGAUGAUGAGGUCCACUUGCAAAAUGCAAGUGAUGAAGAAGAGCUUCACUUUUCAUCUGGUUCUAUGCCCAAGUUGCAGUUCAGUAAUGUGAAAUCCAAAAGCUGUUGAAUUGAAGAGAUGGGAAUGGGAGAAGUCAUCGAGAAGAAUGGCAAAACGUGGGUAUCAACUGGAAUAGUUCGCAGUGGCAAGAUUUAUUCUUCGAUUGAGGAGACUUUGUAGGUAUCUUAUGGAACUAGGAGCCUUACAUCUCUUGGAUAAUGGUGGUAGAAACAUAUCUCUAACAGAAAUGUAUGAAAAGGUCUCUAGCAAGAAAAGUGGGUGUUGUUGGAAGCUGUUUGAGGUUUAUAGGCAUCUCAAGUCUCUUGGCUACAUAGUUGGGCGACAUGGUGUCGCUUGGAGUUUGAAGAGUAUUAAAAGUUCACAUAAACCUGUUGACCUUGAAGUUACUGAAGAAAGAAAACUAGUACACAUGGGUUCCAAAUCUGAGCUUUCCAUUAAUAAGUUAUUUGGUGAGUUGCAGAUUAAUGAUUUGAGGCCAGAUUUUGAUGUUUAUAUUCCAAACAGCAGGUUUAGAAAGUUUUCCCCUGGUGAUCCGAGUUUUCUGCUGUACUUGUCUAGGGGUCAUCUACCAUCUAGAGCAGAAAUUGAAGCUCUUGAAAGACAGUGUGGUGGCAUUCCUUUGAAAAUCUGCCUGGUCGCAGAGGGAAGGGUCAGUUUCUUUUCCUUUGACAAGGUGGAACUUCCCGUUCUACCUUGAAACUUUUGGUAAAAAUCCUACAUUUCCACUGAGUUGAGGUGAAAAGGAAACUAAGAAUUGUAACAAGAGAAUGGGGAGUUGUAGCUUGUUGGAUCCUAUGAUAUGCAAUAAACCUGCAACCUUUUUCUGCAAA